AUACGUAGGGGGCGAGCGUUGUCCGGAAUGACUGGGCGUAAAGGGCGUGUAGGCGGCCGAUUAAGUCUGGAGUGAAAGUCCCGCUUUCAAGGUGGGAAUUGCUUUGGAGACUGGUUGGCUUGAGUGCGGAAGAGGUAAGUGGAAUUCCCAGUGUAGCGGUGAAAUGCGUAGAGAUUGGGAGGAACACCAGUGGCGAAGGCGACUUACUGGACUGUAACUGACGCUGAGGCGCGAAAGUGUGGGGAGCAAACAGGAUUAGAUACCCUGGUAGUCCACACUGUAAACGAUGAAUGCUAGGUGUAAGAGGUAUCGACCCCUUUUGUGCCGGAGUCAACACAAUAAGCAUUCCGCCUGGGGAGUACGGCCGCAAGGUUGAAACUCAAAUGAAUUGACGGGG
rnacentral:rRNA from 1 species